rnacentral:rRNA from 1 species
GCUUGCUGCUUUGCUGACGAGUGGCGGACGGGUGAGUAAUGUCUGGGAAACUGCCUGAUGGAGGGGGAUAACUACUGGAAACGGUGGCUAAUACCGCAUAACGUCGCAAGACCAAAGAGGGGGACCUUCGGGCCUCUUGCCAUCAGAUGUGCCCAGAUGGGAUUAGCUUGUUGGUGAGGUAACGGCUCACCAAGGCGACGAUCCCUAGCUGGUCUGAGAGGAUGACCAGCCACACUGGAACUGAGACACGGUCCAGACUCCUACGGGAGGCAGCAGUGGGGAAUAUUGCACAAUGGGCGCAAGCCUGAUGCAGCCAUGCCGCGUGUAUGAAGAAGGCCUUCGGGUUGUAAAGUACUUUCAGCGGGGAGGAAGGUGUUGUGGUUAAUAACCGCAGCAAUUGACGUUACCCGCAGAAGAAGCACCGGCUAACUCCGUGCCAGCAGCCGCGGU